GACGAACGCUGGCGGCGUGCUUAACACAUGCAAGUCGAACGGAAAGGCCCUGCUUUUGUGGGGUGCUCGAGUGGCGAACGGGUGAGUAACACGUGAGUAACCUGCCCUUGACUUUGGGAUAACUUCAGGAAACUGGGGCUAAUACCGGAUAGGAGCUCCUGCUGCAUGGUGGGGGUUGGAAAGUUUCGGCGGUUGGGGAUGGACUCGCGGCUUAUCAGCUUGUUGGUGGGGGAGUGGCUUACCAAGGCUUUGACGGGUAGCCGGCCUGAGAGGGUGACCGGGCACAAUGGGACUGCGGGACGGACCAGACGCCUACGGGGGGCAGUAGGGGGGAAUAUUGCACAAUGGGCGGAAGCCUGAUGCAGCAACGCCGCGGGCGGGAUGACGGCCUUCGGGUUGUAAACCGCUUUCGCCUGUGACGAAGCGUGAGUGACGGUAAUGGGUAAAGAAGCACCGGCUAACUACGUG
rnacentral:rRNA from 1 species